rnacentral:rRNA from 1 species
GACGAACGCUGGCGGCGUGCUUAACACAUGCAAGUCGAACGGAAAGGCCCUGCUUUUGUGGGGUGCUCGAGUGGCGAACGGGUGAGUAGCACGUGAGUAACCUGCCCUUGACUUUGGGAUAACUUCAGGAAACUGGGGCUAAUGCCGGAUAGGAGCUCCUGCUGCAUGGUGGGGGUUGGAAAGUUUCGGCGGUUGGGGAUGGACUCGCGGCUUAUCAGCUUGUUGGUGGGGUAGUGGCUUACCAAGGCUUUGACGGGUAGCCGGCCUGAGAGGGUGACCGGCCACAUUGGGACUGAGAUACGGCCCAGACUCCUACGGGAGGCAGCAGUGGGGAAUAUUGCACAAUGGGCGGAAGCCUGAUGCAGCAACGCCGCGUGCGGGAUGACGGCCUUCGGGUUGUAAACCGCUUUCGCCUGUGACGAGGCGUGAGUGACGGUAAUGGGUAAAGAAGCACCGGCUAACUACGUG